UACGGAGGAUGCGAGCGUUAUCCGGAUUUACUGGGCGUAAAGGGAGCGUGGGCGGCCGGGUGUGUCGAAUGUGAAAGCCCACAACUCAACUGUGGAAUGGCAUUCGAAACUACCUGGCUAGAGUACUGGAGAGGAGAGCGGAAUUCUUGGUGUAGCGGUGAAAUGCGUAGAUAUCAAGAGGAACACCGGUGGCGAAGGCGGCUCUCUGGACAGAUACUGACGCUGAGGCUCUAAAGUUAGGGGAGCAAACAGGAUUAGAUA
rnacentral:rRNA from 1 species